UGCAAGUCUUACGGAGUUUCCAGAUUCCUCUUGAAACUGAGUGGCGAACGGGUGAGGAACUCUUAAGAAUCUUCCCUUAAGAGUGGUAUAACCUUUGGAAACGAUGGGUAAUCCCGCAUAUGGCGAAAGCUGAAAGAGAAAUCGCUUAACGAUGAGCUUGCGUCUGAUUAGCUAGUUGGUGAGGUAAUGGCUCACCAAGGCGAUGAUCAGUAGCUGGUUUGAGAGAAUGAUCAACCACACUGGGACUGAGACACGGCCCAGACUCCUACGGGAGGCAGCAGUGGGGAACUUUUCGCAAUGGGCGCAAGCCUGACGGAGCAAUACUGCGUGGAGGAUGAAGGCUCGUGGGUCGUAAACUCCUUUUCCCAGAGAAGAAGAUAUGACGGUAUCUGGGGAAUAAGCAUUGGCUAACUACGUGCCAGCAGCUGCGGUAAUACGUGGAAUGCAAGCGUUAUCCGGAUUUAUUGGGCGUAAAGCGUCUGCAGGUGGCUUUGGAAGUGUGCUGUUAAAUCGUCCGGCUCAACUGGAAUCCGGCAGCACAAACUUCAAGGCUUGAGGACGGUAGAGGAAAAGGGAAUUCCCUGUGGAGCGGUGAAAUGCGUAGAGAUAGGGAAGAACACCAAUGGCGAAAAGCACUUUUCUGGGCCUGUCCUGACACUGAGAGACGAAAGCUAGGGGAGCGAGUGGGAUUAGAUACCCCAUUAGUCCUAGCCGUAAACGAUGGAAACUUUCAUUUUGGGCAAUACAAAGUU
rnacentral:rRNA from 1 species